rnacentral:rRNA from 1 species
CACGCUGGCGGCGUGCCUAAUACAUGCAAGUCGAGCGGACUAAUUAAGAGCUUGCUCUUAUGAGGUUAGCGGCGGACGGGUGAGUAACACGUGGGCAACCUGCCCUGUAGACUGGGAUAACAUCGAGAAAUCGGUGCUAAUACCGGAUAAUUGUUGGAACUGCAUAGUUCUAACUUAAAAGAUGGCUCCGGCUAUCACUAUAGGAUGGGCCCGCGGCGCAUUAGCUAGUUGGUAAGGUAAUGGCUUACCAAGGCGACGAUGCGUAGCCGACCUGAGAGGGUGAUCGGCCACACUGGGACUGAGACACGGCCCAGACUCCUACGGGAGGCAGCAGUAGGGAAUCUUCCGCAAUGGACGAAAGUCUGACGGAGCAACGCCGCGUGAGUGAUGAAGGUUUUCGGAUCGUAAAGCUCUGUUGUUAGGGAAGAACAAGUGCCGUUCGAAUAGGGCGGCACCUUGACGGUACCUAACCAGAAAGCCACGGCUAACUACGUG